AUGCCUCUUUUGGUCUGGAAGAACUGGGUUCCUCCCAAAUGCAAAUUUUUUGCUUGGUUGGCCAUCAACAAUAGGAUUUGGACGGCAGACCGGCUUCAGCGUAGGGGCUGGCCCAACUGUAACCUUUGCCUGCUAUGCAAACAAACGCCAGAAUUAGCAGCUCACCUUCUCUUCCAAUGUCGUUACACGGUUAGAGUUUGGGGAAUGAUCAAAGCAUGGCUCGGUUUACAUGAUGUCCAUCCUACGGAUUGGGGAGGCAUGGUUUCAGUCAAGGAGUGGUGGCGCAACAUAGCUUCCGGGAGGUCACAAUCUCGAAGGGCACUUCUUUCCCUUAUGCUUCUUAUCUCUUGGGAAAUUUGGAAAGAGCAAAAUGCACGUGUGUUCCGCAGCACGGCAAUUCCGGUCGGGGUGCUUGUGGCUCACGUCAAAGCGGAAGCUUCACUGUGGUGCCUUGCCGGGGCGAAAUAUUUGUGUAAUAUAAUGCCGCGAGAGUGA
rnacentral:rRNA from 1 species